AUUGAACGCUGGCGGCAUGCUUUACACAUGCAAGUCGAGCGGCAGCGCGGGGGCAACCCUGGCGGCGAGCGGCGAACGGGUGAGUAAUGCAUCGGAACGUGUCCCGUAGUGGGGGAUAACCCGCCGAAAGCCGGGCUAAUACCGCAUAUGCUCUACGGAGGAAAGCGGGGGACCGCAAGGCCUCGCGCUAUGGGAGCGGCCGAUGUCCGAUUAGCUAGUUGGUGGGGUAAUGGCUUACCAAGGCGACGAUCGGUAGCUGGUCUGAGAGGAUGAUCAGCCACACUGGGACUGAGACACGGCCCAGACUCCUACGGGAGGCAGCAGUGGGGAAUUUUGGACAAUGGGGGCAACCCUGAUCCAGCCAUGCCGCGUGCGGGAAGAAGGCCU
rnacentral:rRNA from 1 species